rnacentral:rRNA from 1 species
ACCGAACGCUGGCGGCGUGCUUAACACAUGCAAGUCGAACGGAGUGGCGAACGGGUGAGUAACACGUGGGUGACCUGCCCUGCACUUCGGGAUAAGCCUGGGAAACUGGGUCUAAUACCGGAUAGUGUGGGAUGGGCCCGGGGCCUAUCAGCUUGUUGGGGGGGUAAUGGCCUACCAAGGCGGCGACGGGUAGCCGGCCGGAGAGGGUUGACGGCCACAUUGGGCCUGAGAGACGGACCAGACGCCUACGGGAGGCAGCAGUUGGGAAUAUUGCACAAUGGGCGGACGCCUGAUGCAGCGACGCCGCGUGGGGGAUGACGGCCUUCGGGUUGUAAACUCCUUUCACCAUCGACGCGGUAGCUGGAGAAUAAGCACCGGCUAACUACGUGCCAGCAGCCGCGGUAAUUC